rnacentral:rRNA from 1 species
GGGGGGGGGGGGGGGGGGGGCUGGUGCAUGCAGGUUGGGCGCGGACGGGUGGUACUUGUACCAACUGGAUGAGCAGCGAACGGGUGAGUAACGCGUGGGGAAUCUGCCUGUGAGCGGGGGACAACGUUUGGAAACGAAUGCUACUACCGCCUACAAACUUUAAACACAAGUUUUAAGUUUGACAGAUGCAAUUGCAUCACUCAAAGAUGAUCCCGCGUUGUAUUAGCUAGUUGGUGAGGUAAAGGCUCACCAAGGCGAUGAUACAUAGCCGACCUGAGAGGGUGAUCGGCCACAUUGGGACUGAGACACGGCCCAAACUCCUACGGGAGGCAGCAGUAGGGAAUCUUCGGCAAUGGACGAAAGUCUGACCGAGCAACGCCGCGUGAGUGAAGAAGGGUUUCGGAUCGUAAAACUCUGUUGGUAGAGAAGAACGUUGGUGAGAGUGGAAAGCUCAUCAAGUGACGGUAACUACCCAGAAAGGGACGGCUAACUACGUG